AAGGAUACCCAGGCUGGAGGUGGAGGUAGAUAGGACUAGUACUGGUGACUAUCUAACAGCUCAAAAUAAUCGUCAUGCCAAAGUGGCGUAUUUCGAUGUGGUGUAUCCUGAUCCCAUCCAGCAGCUGAGUAAACUGAAGCAUAGAAAGCAACUUGCCUGAAGUCGCAGAACAGGCACCUGAGCUGGACCUGUUUUAAAGACAGAGAAGGCGGGGCUGGGGCAGCAGGCGCGGAGCUCACGUGGCAAGAACGUCAAGGUCAUGUAGCUCAAAAUCUGCUCUCCCAGCCCUUUAGUCCUUGGGACACCCAACACAGGGGAAGAAACUGCUGGUCCUCUGAGGAGGUGAGAAGUAGCAGGAGAGAGAAAGAACCAGGAGGAUGAGGAGCUGUGGGUCAAGCCAGGAAACUUCCACCAGGGAGGCUGGGAGUCAGGACAAAAAGCACUGUCCAGAUGGUGGAGCCUCUAGGAGCCUGGGUCUCUUGGAGCGGACAGCGUGAGCAGAGCCCCAGCUGACCACAUUGGGCACAGAGCAUGUGUUUUAAGCUACUGAUAUUUGCAGGUGUUUGUUUCCUCUGUAUACCCCAAUCUAUCCUGAUUAUCCCAUUUCACAGAGGAGGAAACUGAGGCACAGAGAAGUAACUUGACUGAAGUCGUACAUCUAGGAGACGGUGGAGCCAGGAUUCAAAGUCAACCGUCUAUUAGUCCUUGCUGUUUAGAACCCUGGAAUGACUCAGAUGGCCAUCUUUUCUGAGGCUUCGCUCUUAGCUUUCUCACUGGGAGAAAUUUUACUCCUCCCUCCCCGACCCCAGACAUUUGGCAACGUCUAGAGAUAUUUUUGGUCAUCACAACUUGGGGGGUGGGAGGGGAGCUGCUGGCAUCGGGGUGAGUAGAAGCCAGGUACGCUGCUAAGAGUCCUAUCGUGCACAGGACGUCCCCCACCACAAAGAAUUACCCAUCCCCAAACUUCAAUAGCACCGCUGUGGAGAAGCCCCAACUUACACGAAAUUCCUCUGUUGCUUAAACUAACCGCAGUUGGCUGCUUCUGCUUGCAGCUGGAGACUUAGUUGGGUUGUUAUGAGUUAGUUAAUUAAUUAAUUGCAAACAGUGGGGUGUCGGUGCUGGGCCUGGUCCUAUUUGACAUUUGCCUAACUAAUGUGGAGGAGUAAGUGGUGAGAGCCCCACAUUCGCUGAUGACACUUAGCUGUGCCAGGUAGUGAAAUGCCAAGCCGCUGGUGAUAAGCUGCGGGAAGAUCUCACCAGGCUGUGCGAGUGGGCAGAGGAGUUGCCAAGGAGGAGCUUCAGUGUGGGCAAGUGCAAGGUGCUGUGUUUGGCAAAAAAUAAUCCCAGCUAUACUUAGAGGCUGGAAGAGGACGGAAGAGGAUAGAAGAAAAUGAAUAAAAAUUGAAAGGACUCCAGAGAGUGAUUCCCACGCCUGAUUCUAAGGCUCACCUGCGCUCUGGCUAACAACACCACAGGCCCUGGCAUGGGCUUGACCCGAGGCCUGGGCACUGCUACUUGGCUGCUUUUUAUUUUCUGCAGGAAUACAGACCCAGUUUCUCCAGAUUUCCUGAUUUUCAAGAGAAGCCCCAAAUCCUGACUUUUAUGUGUUGUUUGGCAGAGAUGACUAGUCACCUGCCGAAGAUCCGUGCAUACCCGUGUUAUGUAGAGUUAGUCCUUGGAAGCAAGUCUCCAGCCACGGAUGACAUUUCCAGCAUCCCCUCCCCUGCAAUCUAGAGGGAACCACGUGACUCGUUCUCACUAAUGGAAUGUGACAUGAAGUGGCUUACUUCUGGGUCAAGGUGCCUGAUCCUUCACCUUCUCACCACCACCCCUGUCCCCUUCCCCGAUCUAGCCAGGUGGGUGACAUCAGGGUAACCCUGAAGCCACAAGAUGGCAGGACUAAAAGACAGAAGCAGCUUGGUUCCCUGGUUACAGGCUGGAGCAGAGCCGUCCAGGAGUGCAGCUCGGCCAGGAGCACCUACAUUGGACUUUGCGUGGGCAAAAAAUAAAGGGCUAUUGGGUUAAGCCCUUGAGAUUUGGGGUUUUGUUAUGACAGAUAGUGUAGUCCACCUGACAAAUAGAGUCUAGCUAAGCUAGAAUCAGGUGUUGUUUGCAGCCUAAAGGUUCUUACUGAAAGUUUUGGAGAAGGACCCACGAA
ensembl:lncRNA